UACGUAGGGUCCGAGCGUUGUCCGGAAUUAUUGGGCGUAAAGAGCUCGUAGGCGGUCUGUCACGUCGGACGUGAAAAUCCAGGGCUCAACCCUGGACCCUGCGUUCGAUACGGGCAGACUAGAGUUCGGUAGGGGAGACUGGAAUUCCUGGUGUAGCGGUGAAAUGCGCAGAUAUCAGGAGGAACACCGGUGGCGAAGGCGGGUCUCUGGGCCGAAACUGACGCUGAGGAGCGAAAGCGUGGGGAGCAAACAGG
rnacentral:rRNA from 1 species